GAAACCAACAGGGAUUGCCUCAGUAACGGCGAGUGAAGCGGCAACAGCUCAAAUUUGAAAUCUGGCGCCUUCGGCGUCCGAGUUGUAAUUUGUAGAGGAUGCUAUUGGGUUGCCACCGGUCUAAGUUCCUUGGAACAGGACGUCACAGAGGGUGAGAAUCCCGUAUGUGACCGGCCAGGCGCCUUCUGUAUGGCUCCUUCGACGAGUCGGGUUGUUUGGGAAUGCAGCCCUAAAUGGGAGGUAAAUUUCUUCUAAAGCUAAAUACCGGCCAGAGACCGAUAGCGCACAAGUAGAGUGAUCGAAAGAUGAAAAGCACUUUGGAAAGAGAGUUAAAAAGCACGUGAAAUUGUUGAAAGGGAAGCGCUUGCAAUCAGUCUCGACGGCGGCUGUUCGGCCUCUCUUCUGAGUGGUUUAUUCAGUCGCCGCCGGGCCAGCAUCAGUUUUGGCGGUCGGAUAAAGGCGUGGGGAAUGUAGCUCCUCCGGGAGUGUUAUAGCCCCGCGUGCAAUACGGCCCGCCGGGACUGAGGUCCGCGCUUCGGCUAGGAUGCUGGCGAAAUGGUUGUAAGCGGCCCGUCUUGAAACACGGACCAAGGAGUCUAACAUCUACGCGAGUGUUUGGGUGUCAAACCCGUGCGCGCAAUGAAAGUGAACGGAGGUGGGAACCGCAAGGUGCACCAUCGACCGAUCCUGAUGUCUUCGGAUGGAUUUGAGUAAGAGCGUAGCUGUUGGGACCCGAAAGAUGGUGAACUAUGCCUGAAUAGGGUGAAGCCAGAGGAAACUCUGGUGGAGGCUCGCAGCGGUUCUGACGUGCAAAUCGAUCGUCAAAUUUGGGUAUAGGGGCGAAAGACUAAUCGA
rnacentral:rRNA from 1 species